rnacentral:rRNA from 1 species
UACGAAGGGUGCAAACGUUGCUCGGAAUUAUUGGGCGUAAAGCGCACGUAGGCGGCUUGGCAAGUCGGAUGUGAAAUCCCUCGGCUCAACCAAGGAAGUGCAUCCGAAACUGCUGAGCUUGAGUACUUAAGAGGAUCGCGGAAUUCCCGGUGUAGAGGUGAAAUUCGUAGAUAUUCGGAAGAACACCAGUGGCGAAGGCGACUGUCUGGCGCAUUUCUGACGCUGAGGUGCGAAAGCGUGGGUAGCAAACAGG